GUCAGCCCGGGGCUAUAGCAGAAGACACUUACCCAAGGUGCCACAGUGGGACUGAACCCGGAACCAUGUGGUUGGUUAGCAAGCUACUUACCACACAGCCACUCCUGCGCCUAUUUAUUCUCUCUAUUCAGUAUUCACCAAAACGGAUCCGAUUACACCAUGUUACACGAUCUUGUUUCGGUGGGUAGUAACUGUUAUUUCCAUGAAGGCGCGUGGCUCAGUGGUUAGAGCAUCGAGCUUACAAUCGUGAGGUUGUGAGCUCGAAUCCCGGACCGGGCUGUGUGUUGUGUUCUUGAGCAAGACACUUUAUUUCACGUUGCUCCAGUUCACUCAGCUGUAGAAAUGAGUUGCGGAGUCACAGGUGCCAAGGUGUAUCGACCCCUCUGCCUUUCCCUUGGAUAACACUGGUGGCGUGGAGAGGGGAGGCCGGUAUGCAUGGGCGGCUGCAUAAGUAAAUUUAUUUCCAGCCGACUAUAACAAGCAAAAAGAAUUGCUCUCUUUUCUUCUUUGAAGGAAAACUUCUUCGUAUAGGGACACGGAUUUGGAACUUCUGCCUCUUGUGAGGUAAGUACCCCUUUUCAUUUGUUUAAUUUCCUGUAAUUCAAUGUAACGUCUGAGUUAGGACCUCAUCUCUGUUUAGAUUCUGUUAAUAAUCUUUCAAUUUGUUUCAGCGCCCGCUUCGCUUUUAUCAAUUUCUCACUACAUCUGAUUGAUUGAUUGAUUGAUUGAUUGAUUGAUUCUAGUUUCAGCUUAUGAGCUGUGGCCAUGCUGGGGCACCGCCAUUUGGUGUUGCUACUUGGUUUCACUUCAUGGAGGCUUUCUAGCAACUGCUAUUUGGUGCAUGAGAGAGUUCGAUGCAGCUGCCCUCAUCUGCCCCUCCUGCCGUGAAGUUGGUUCAUCUGGGACACCUGACAGGAAGAGAUCCAGCUUCAUUUUAAAGACAUCUGUAUCCACCCCAUGCAGGUCUCUCAGGUUCUUCGGGAGGAUAUUGAAGAGCUGUGGGCCUCGGAAGCCCAGGCUAUCACAGAAUCUUGUCCUACAUCUUGAUGGCAGGUUUGGAGUCCUAGGCACCACGCAGUGGCGCCCAGUUCUGGCAUUUGCGUAACUCUCGAUGCCAAAGUUCAGGACACUUCCCUCCAGGAUCUUCCAGAUGUAUAUUAUGGCAUAUCUUUCCCGCAUCUCUUUAAAAUUAUUCAAUUUUUAGAUAGGUAUAUAUUUAUUUGAUACUUUAUUUAUAUAUAUAUAUAGGCGCAGGAGUGGCUGUGUGGUAAGUAGCUUGCUUACCAACCACAUGGUUCCGGGUUCAGUCCCACUGCGUGGCAUCUUGGGCAAGUGUCUUCAACUAUAGCCUCGGGCCAACCAAAGCCUUGUGAGUGGAUUUGGUAGACGGAAACUGAAAGAAGCCCGUCGUGUAUAUGUAUGUAUAUAUAUGUGUGUGUAUGUGUUUGUCCCCCUAGCAUUGCUUGACGACCGAUGCUGGUGUGUUUACGUCCCCGUCACUUAGCGGUUCGGCAAAAGAGAGCGAUAGAAUAAAUACUGGGCUUACAAAGAAUAAGUCCCGGGGUCGAUUUGUUCGACUAAAGGCGGUGCUCCAGCAUGGCCGCAGUCAAAUGACUGACACAAGUAAAAGAGUAUAUUUACUCAGCCUCUCAAUCUUCCUAAAUAUAUAGACGCGAACAUUAGAAAUAUAGUCGUAAUUAGUUAAGAAGAAAACUUUCGUAGUUACGGAUAGAUAGAUAUUUAUAAUUAGCUUAGAAGAGAACUUUCGUAGCUGCAGAUAGAUAUAUAUUUAUUUGUUGCAUAACCUCCUCUCUUUCAUUUCUUUCUCUCUCUGUCUCUUCACUUCUCUCUGUCACACCAUCUUUCCUCUCUCGGCCUCUCAAUCUUUCUAAAUAUAUAGACGCGAACUUUCUCCUCUCACUCUCUCUUACUCUCUUUUUAUCUUCUCUCAGCUCUCAUCAUCAUCGUUCAUCAUUUAGCGUCCGCUUUCCAUGCUAGCAUGGGUUGGACGGUUCAACUGGGGUCUUGGAAGCCAGAAGGCUGCACCAGGCACCAGUCUGAUCUGGCAGUGUUUCUACAGCUGGAUGCCCUUCCUAACGCCAACCACUCCGUGAGUGUAGUGGGUGCUUUUUACGUGCCACCGACACAGGUGCCAGACGAGGCUGGCAAACGGCCACAAUCGGAUGGUGCUUUUUACGUGCCACCGGCAUGGGGGCCAGGCAAGGCUGGCAAACGGCCACAAUCGGUUGGUGCAUUGUGCUGACGGAGAUAAUCCGAACAACAUAAUUACAGCUGCGCUGAAGAGCAAUGGUUACACAAGGACGCCACCUGCCCCAAAAUGGAGGUACGCAGAUGUAGUGCGUGUCACAAACCAUCAACAUGUUAUUGAAAGGGCAGCUGCUGAACAAGAAUCUUUUUUGUGCAUGGCACAAAAGAUUGUACAGCAGCUAACCUGGCUCCCUCAAACUCAAACUCACAGAUGGGACUAUCCACAAUACACAAGACCACCACAACAAAUAGACCCAAGCUGGACACCACUGGCAACAACACACACAUCACCUUGAUGCCCCUACUGAGCAUCAGAGGACUGCUAACACUCAGUAACAGGACAAAAAUCCCUUUCUUGAGAGACCUUGUUGCAUGCAAUCAAACCUUAUGCAUAGCACUUACGGAAACACACCUGAAACCGGACAUAGCAGAUGCAGAAAUACACAUACCACAGUAUGUUGUAUUACAGACCUACAGAAAAGAAAGGAGCCAUGGUGGAGUUGCUAUGUACAUCCACGAGGACCUCACAUCCCAGGUCCUUUUGUCAAACUCAAAUUCGGUGUGUGACACACUAAUUGUAUAUAUAAGGCAACUUGGUGUAGUUAUAUGUGCUACAUAUCGCCCUCCAGAUGCUCCAAGCCAUGUAGGCAAGUUUGAAGACUGCCUUAUAAAAAUAGAAGUUCUAACCACAUUAGAACAACACAUAAGUGUACUUCUUAUGGGAGACUUCAAUCUGCCCAGUGUCAGAUGGCCCGAGGGCCUUUCUCUCCCAGGAAUGACAAGAUGUGAACGAGGACAGACGAGGUCCCUCCUGAACCUCAUCAACACCCUGUACAUGGAGCAGGUAAUACUCCAACCAACCAGGGCAGGUAACACACUGGAUCUCUGCUUCACAAAUGACAUGGAUCUCAUCCAUAAUGUGAAAGUGACACCGACACUACUCUCGGAUCACAACAUGGUAGAGUUGACCAUGUACGGACCAAAGGAAAGCAUGGACAUGCAGUCUACAAGAAACUCUCAGAAUCUUUCCAGCUUGAACUUCCAUAAGGCAAACUGGAAACAAAUUGAGAAAGAGAUCCUCAAACAAAACUGGCCUGAAUGUCUCUCCUUGCCAGACAUCGACAUGAAACGUCAACAAUUCAUGUCUGUAAUGCAAGCCAUAUGCUACAAAUGUGUCCCAGAGAGAAAGGCCACUGUACACAAGAGGAAAAUUCUAAUGAGACGGCGUACAAAAGUUUCAAAUCACCUAAACAAACAAAUUGAAAGCAGUGAAAAGUCCCGCCUGAAAAUAAAACUGUUGGAAAUUGAAAAUUGUCUGCAACUCUCUCAUGAAAAAGAAAGAGCAGACAAAGAAGCCUGGGCUAUAGACAACAUAAAAUCUAACCCCAGAGCUUUCUACAAGUUUGCCAAAGAAACAGCUACAGUGCACUGUAGGAUAGGGCCACACCUUGAAAAAGAUGGUACACUCACAGGAAAUCCAAUGAUUUAAAGCUUUCCCUAAUUAUCAAUCUCCUGUCUGCAUCCUGGUUAGUUUAUUGCUAUAUAUCCUGCUGUUUAUUUCAUUUGUCCCCUACAUGUGUUUCGCCAUUGUGGUUUCUUGGAAUUUCACCAGUAAAUGCUCCAAGUGCAAAGGGGUGCUUAACCACAACGGGUCAUCAGGGAAACACUAUACUGCAACUGUGUUACAAAGAACUGAAGUCUGAAGUUGGGUGGAUGUCAAGACAUUCUACAAGUAUUCAGAGAUUAGAAUAGAAAUGAAUUAACCCUUUUGUUACCAUAUUUCUGUUGAGAUGCUCUGUGUUUCUUUCAAUUGAUUAUAAAUAUAACAAAGAAUUUAGUAAAAUAACUUUAUUACCAUUCAGCUAGUGUUAGGAUCAUAAAUUAUAACAAAAUAUAACAAAGAAUUUAGUAAAAUAACUUAGUUAUCAUAGGCAGAUGAACGUUAGAAGCAGUUGAAAGGGUGAGGACAGUAGGAAAUUUAGGCUAUUAUUUCUAGGACAUAGAGUGACCACAUUGAGGUCUCCUCUCAUGUCUUCUGCUGGUUACCAUAUUUCUGUUGAGAAGCUCUGUGUUUCUUUCAAUUAUUUUAAAUAUAACAAAGAAUUUAGGAAAAUAACUUCGUUAUCAUAGGCAGAUGGACAUUAGAAGCAGUUGAAAGGGUGAGGAUUUAAGGAAAUUUAGGCUAUUAUUUCUAGCACAUAGAUUGACCAUAUUGAGGUCUCCUUCUCUCAUGUCUUCUGCUGAUUAUUUUUCUUCUUAACCAUUUUGUUACCAUAUUUCUGUUGAGAUGCUCUGUGUUUCUUUCAAUUACUUUAAAUAUAACAAAGAAUUUAGUAAAAUAACUUUAUUACCAUUCAGCUAGUGUUAGAAUCAUAAAUUAUAACAAAAUAUAACAAAGAAUUUAGUAAAAUAACUUGGAGGAGGUGGCUUUGUUCCAGGUAAUAAGUGUGAACUAAUAAAGUGUGUGUGUAUGUAUGUAUAUAUAUAUAUAUAUAUAUAUAUAUAUAUAUAUAUAUACACACACACACACACACAGACAUGCAGGAAGUAAAUAGACAACUUCAAUUUUCAAAAUUUCUGAUCUAAGCAUCUUAAUGUUUUCAGCAGUGUAGAAUUUACAAUGUAAUUAUUCUUUUUCAUUCCAGGUGCCAUUAUAUUAAACAUUUGUGAAGAGUAACCAUGCCAUGCACAAAAAAUUCAGCACAACUGUCAGAUUUUCAAAGAGGUCGUAUUGUUGGGCAAUCUGAGGCUGGUCUUAGCCAGCGAAAAAUUGCCGAAAAUCUUCAAAUUCCUCUUGCUACUGUUAAUAGAAUUAUAGUGCAAUUCAAAAGCCCCGGCAGCCGAACUGGGCCCUCGGAAAAGAAGCUUCGCUGUUUGAAAAGAAUUGUGGAAAAUGAACCCUGUUCGAAGGCUUCUGACAUUGCAAAACAGCUAGAAGUUAGUCCAAGAACAUGUGUUACAUAUCUGCAUAAGCUUGGGUAUUAUGGACGAGCAGCUAGAAGAAAACCUCUCCUUCAACCAAUUAAUAUCAAAUAAAAGAUUUUGAAAAUUAAAGGUG
rnacentral:lncRNA from 1 species